rnacentral:rRNA from 1 species
AGUAUGAACGGCAUCACGAGGGUUACACUGUCUCCCACCUCUAAUCAGUUAAACUGAUCCCCCCGUGAAGAAGCGGGGAUAUAAAUAUAAGACGAGAAGACCCCAUGGAGCUUUAAACCCAGCACCAAUUAUCUAUAGUCAUACCAUAAAAGCCCGAUAAUACUGGCUGCCGGUUUUAGGUUGGGGUGACCACGGAGUACAACACAACCUCCAUGAUGAAAGGCUCUCCCUUUAAUCCAAGAGUUACAACUCUAAGAAUCAAAAACUGACAUACAUUGACCCAAAUAUUUUGAUCAACGAACCAAGUUACCCUGGGGAUAACAGCGCAAUCCAUUUCAAGAGCUCCUAUCGACAAUGG